AGUGAACGCUGGCGGUAGGCCUAACACAUGCAAGUCGAACGGCAGCACAGUAAGAGCUUGCUCUUACGGGUGGCGAGUGGCGGACGGGUGAGGAAUACAUCGGAAUCUACUUUUUCGUGGGGGAUAACGUAGGGAAACUUACGCUAAUACCGCAUACGACCUACGGGUGAAAGCAGGGGAUCUUCGGACCUUGCGCGAUCGAAUGAGCCGAUGUCGGAUUAGCUAGUUGGCGGGGUAAAGGCCCACCAAGGCGACGAUCCGUAGCUGGUCUGAGAGGAUGAUCAGCCACACUGGAACUGAGACACGGUCAAGACUCCUACGGGAGGCAGCAGUGGGGAAUAUUGGACAAUGGGCGCAAGCCUGAUCCAGCCAUACCGCGUGGGUGAAGAAGGCCUUCGGGUUGUAAAGCCCUUUUGUUGGGAAAGAAAAGCAGCAGGUUAAUACCCCGCUGUUCUGACGGUACCCAAAGAAUAAGCACCGGCUAACUUCGUG
rnacentral:rRNA from 1 species